UACGAAGGGGGCUAGCGUUGUUCGGAAUUACUGGGCGUAAAGGGCGCGUAGGCGGUGUGUCAAGUCAGGCGUGAAAGCCCCGGGCUCAACCUGGGAACUGCAUCCGAGACUGCAUUGCUAGAGUAUGGGAGAGGGAAGCGGAAUUUCUGGUGUAGCAGUGAAAUGCGUAGAUAUCAGAAGGAACAUCAGUGGCGAAGGCGGCUUCCUGGACCAAUACUGACGAUCAGGUGCGAAAGCGUGGGGAGCAAACAGG
rnacentral:rRNA from 1 species